rnacentral:rRNA from 1 species
GAUGAACGCUAGCGGCAGGCCUAACACAUGCAAGUCGAGGGGUAGAGGAAGCUUGCUUCCUUGAGACCGGCGCACGGGUGCGUAACGCGUAUGCAAUCUACCUUAUACAGAGGGAUAGCCCAGAGAAAUUUGGAUUAAUACCUCAUAGUAUUAUUGAAUGGCAUCAUUUAAUAAUUAAAGUUCCAACGGUAUAAGAUGAGCAUGCGUCCCAUUAGUUAGUUGGUAAGGUAACGGCUUACCAAGACAAUGAUGGGUAGGGGUCCUGAGAGGGAGAUCCCCAACACUGGUACUGAGACACGGACCAGACUCCUACGGGAGGCAGCAGUGAGGAAUAUUGGUCAAUGGACGCAAGUCUGAACCAGCCAUGCCGCGUGCAGGAUGACGGUCCUAUGGAUUGUAAACUGCUUUUAUACAGGAAGAAACACUCGGACGUGUCCGAGCUUGACGGUACUGUAGGAAUAGGGAUCGGCUAACUCCGUGCCAGCAGCCGCGGUAACAC